UGGGGAAUAUUGCACAAUGGGCGCAAGCCUGAUGCAGCCAUGCCGCGUGUGUGAAGAAGGCCUUCGGGUUGUAAAGCACUUUCAGCGGGGAGGAAGGCGUUAAGGUUAAUAACCUUGGCGAUUGACGUUACCCGCAGAAGAAGCACCGGCUAACUCCGUGCCAGCAGCCGCGGUAAUACGGAGGGUGCAAGCGUUAAUCGGAAUUACUGGGCGUAAAGCGCACGCAGGCGGUCUGUCAAGUCUGAUGUGAAAGCCCCCGGCUCAACCGGGGAGGGUCAUUGGAAACUGGGAGACUUGAGUGCAGAAGAGGAGAGUGGAAUUCCAUGUGUAGCGGUGAAAUGCGUAGAUAUAUGGAGGAACACCAGUGGCGAAGGCGGCUCUCUGGUCUGUAACUGACGCUGAGGCUCGAAAGCGUGGGGAGCAAACAGG
rnacentral:rRNA from 1 species